rnacentral:rRNA from 1 species
UACGAGGGGGGCAAAUGUUGUUCGGAAUCACUGGGCGUAAAGGGAGCGUAGGCGGGUUUCUAAGUCAGGUGUUUAAUCCCGGGGCCCAACCCCGGACAGGCACUUGAAACUGGAAAUCUUGAAUAGUGGAGAGGUCAGUGGAAUUGGAGGUGUAGCGGUGGAAUGCGUAGAGAUCUCCAAGAACACCAGUUGCGAAGGCGGCUGACUGGACACAUAUUGACGCUGAGGCUCGAAAGCAUGGGGAGCAAACAGG